rnacentral:rRNA from 1 species
UACAGAGGUCUCAAGCGUUGUUCGGAUUCAUUGGGCGUAAAGGGUGCGUAGGCGGUUUGGUAAGUCUGGUGUGAAAUCUCCACGCUCAACGUGGAGGGGCCACCCGAUACUGCCAUGACUGGAGUCCGGUAGAGGAGUGUGGAAUUCCCGGUGUAGCGGUGAAAUGCGCAGAUAUCGGGAGGAACACCCGUAGCGAAGGCGGCACUCUGGGCCGGAACUGACGCUGAGGAGCGAAAGCGUGGGGAGCGAACAGG